UAAUAGAAUCAUGAAUGAUACCAAUGAAAAGAAUAGGCUAUUGGAGCCUGAAAGAUGUUGAUUACAGCUAAUUUAGGAAAGGCUUUCCUGAGGAAGUAAUAUGUAAGUAAAAACUGCUGUCAAAGUUGGCCAGUGAAUUGCUUCCAUGUCAUUGUUUAAUCCUUGGGAAAAAACCAACUGUGAUUGGAUUGGGAAGAUGCUAUCUGAAAACAGCUAUUUCCAUCUGGGGCCCAGAAGAGCAAAAACCUGGAAAUCAGUCCUUGAAUGCUGCCUUUGCCAUAUUCAUUUCAGUCUGGGGUAUUAGACCAUAUUUACCUUUUUUUUUGGACAUCAGGAAGUCUAUAUAAGAGUGUUUAAGGGAAAAAAGUGAAUAUGAUUAAAAAGAAUGUCUUCAGCACUUUAUUCAAGUGACUAUACUCAGUCCCUUGGAGACAUCCCUCCAGAAAUGGAAACCAAUCAAGUAACAAAUAUUCAUCCCCUUUUAUGGGUCCAACACUGAACUAAACACAAGAGGAAGGAACAGACUCAGAGGUGGGUAUCUCCUAAACCAUUUCCUCCAUUUGAACAGUUAUGCAUUCUGUCUUCAUUGCCUUAGGGAAAGGAAACACAGAUAAAUCAGAUUACAGAAGAGGUUGGUAACCUGGAAGAGCCUUAUCUGGUCUCACCUGGGAUUGUUCAAGCUACAAUUAUCUGACAGCUUCUGUGUGGCUGGAGGAUCCAAGGUGUCCUCACUCAGAUGUGUGACAGUUGGUGCUGGAUGUUGGUGGAAAUUCCUGUUUUCCUCCACAUGAUCACCCAUCCUCUGAUAAGUUGAACUGGGCUUCUUCACCACGUUGAGGUGGUAGGGUGACAAGAAGAUGAGAAUGGAAGCUGCAAGAAUAGGAGGUCACCUCAACCCCAAGUAUGGAUUACGAUCAAGAGGUACAGGACUGGAGCUUCAUUUGGAUUACUGCAGUGAUUAACAUUAUGGCUGAGCACAGAGGAUUGAAAAUUCUAAGUAUCACUUCUAAAGAUCUGAAAAUUGAAGGAGCAGACUGUUGGCAGUAAUGAGUUACAAAUGGCAACUUGUAUUUUGUUUGGAAAAUCACUUCUUUCCUUGAGGAAUUAUGUUUUGUAUUGAUUUUCAGACUGUUUGGUCUUCAGAGAGGUACUUGUGAUUUUGAGGAACAGUGUAAUUGUAUCUUCAAAUUAAAUGUAAUAUAGACUGUUGAUAGCAUAUUUUCUAAGCUCUUUAAAUUAAAACUAACUUUACCCCUGUGCCGAAGAAUCCAAGUAGUUCAAGGUUAAACAGUGUGUCACUGUGAUGUCAGGUAUGCCUCAACUUUACUCCUUUAAAAAAUGUUCUAGUCCAUGGUUUCUUUUCCUACUUCAAUAGAAAAACGUUGACAUAAAUUAAAAGUGAGCAUUGACUUGCUCUUUUGGGAACUGCCCCCUCCUUUUUUUCCUGUACUGACAUUAAAAUCAUUCAUUUCAUUUUGCCUAGAAACAAAAUCUGUUAUAUCAGUUUUCCAUGUACAUUUUGCCUGAGAAAAAAUGUGGAAGACAGCUGUUUUAAUGUUGAAAUGGAUCCAGUUUCUAUUAAGUAUGUCCUCAGAGCUUUUGGGGGUUUAUUUUUAACUCUGACAGAAUUAAUUUAGAAUAGGACAUAAGUGACCAUUCUGUCCCUGUCUAAUUUUCUGGAGAAUGUGUGGUCACCUAUGCUUUUGAUUAUGCAGUAGAAAUGUGCACUUUCAAGUAAACACAGAAAGUAUUAUUGCAGGGCACAACAAUGUGUCUACUCAACUCCUUCUGCAGUCAUUUGAGUUGACUAACAUUUUCAUUUGAUUAAGAAUUUAAAAUAAGUUAGUCAUUCAUUUAAAUCAGCGCACCUGAGGCACCUGGGUGGUUCAGUGGUUGAGAGACUGUCU